rnacentral:misc_RNA from 1 species
CCUUUUUGGAGACAGAUUCGCAGUGGUCGCUUCUUCUCCUUGGAUUUGUUAAGGAUUCCAAGUAACUCUUAUUUGGAGAGAAGACGAUCUGCACUUCGCAUUUUGGCAUUGACAUUUAAUUUUAGGGUCCUUUAUAUAGAAGGGAGAGUAGGUAAACUGAUUUUUUUUUUUAACAGGGAGGGUUUGACAAUCUUUGGCAGACUUGGAGCAAAAGAUUGAGGUGCAUUUCAUGCCUCCUUUUGAGAGUCUUGCUCUGUCGCCCAGGCUGUAGUGCAGUGGCGCAAUCUUGGCUGCAACCUCAGCCUCCCAAGUAGCUGGGAUUACAAACAUAAGCCACCACGCCCAGCCCUCAUACCUCUUUUAAAAGUCGACCUGUUUUGCAGAAAGUCUGCUGUUUUUGUACUAAAGGCUUUGGAAUUUGGCAUUUAGCUAGGAAUGCACAUUCUUUCACCUCAUUCAUACUUUAAGAACCACAGAAGUGACUCUGCUUGGCCAGAAGGCACACUGUGUUGGUGGUUAUAUUAAAAGUCCUUGAGUAUUUUGCUUUUCAUGAUCUUGCUCACUGCAACUUCCGCCUCCCAGGUUCAGGCGAUUCUCCUGCCUCAGCCUCCCAAGUAGCUGCGACUACAGGCGUGUAGCACCACACCUGGCUAAUUUUUGUAUUUUUAGUAGAGAUGAGGUUUCACCAUAUUGGCCAGGCUGUUCUCAACUCCUGACCUCGUGAUCCGCCCACCUCAGCCUCCUAAAGUGCUGGGAUUACAGCUGUGAGCCACCCUGCCCGGCCACUUUUGUAUGAUUUCUAAUGUAUUUGUAAUUUACCUAACAAAUUGCCUAAUCUGCUAUGUUAAUGUAUUUAUGAAUUAAAAUAAAUACGACUGCAUGUUU